UCAAAACAGCUACGAAAUUUGGCCAAAAUUAAAGUUAAAUCUCCUUCUCAGUCCAUCCCUCACUCUUAUCUUUCUCUCUCCGUCGAAAGCUUCGAGAAAUCUCAAACCAUUACCAGCUCCUCCGCCAAAAUCAAGUCACUCUCUGUCUCCGAGAUCACACCCCCUCAGCUCUCCAACCUCUCAAUUGUCAAAUCCGCCUCCACCUUUUCCUUCGCCUCCGCCUUCGCCAGUGAGCCAUCGGAGGCGGAGCUCCAUAAGUUCGGUGUCUCCGACGAUAUCAGAGCCUUUGUCAAGGGACUCACUUCCGAAUUUUUUGAUUCGGUUCUUCAAAUGCGCACCGUUUCGAUCGAAUAGUCGACUCUCUAAUCCUUGAUGCUCUGCACUUCGCUCCUCGCAGCUUAUCGAUGGCGUAGGAUUUGAUUAAAUUUGCGAUCACCAGGGAUAUUAAAACAGUGAUCAAGAGUUUGUCUGUGAUGGCAAAGACGACUCUUCCAGUGGUGAGGAAAACACAGAGACCCAGCAAAGCUUCGUAGAGAGGAAGCAUCAGUUUCCUGAAAUGGUAAAUAUCUAUUAUUUUUUUGUCAGGUCAACACCCAGAAACGUAAUUUUGACUUUCAUAGGUCCAUUUGUAAACUUGUAUUGAUAUUUAUAAUGUCAGAGUUGAUCUUUCCCUAUUGAAAGUUUUGAGCUUGAAUGAUGGAAUGUGUGAGCUUCCACUUUAAAUUUCUAUGGCUGGUGACAAGCAAAUGCUUUUCAUGAGCUGUUUUAGGAGUAAUAUAGGACAUUUGAGCUUUGGUAGUGACAGAAUGUGGAAGCUGUGCAAUGAAAUUUGCAAAUUUGUGAAGAGUUUACAUGUUCUAUUCCUGUUUAGAAACAAACUUUAACUUCAUACUUAUCUGGUGUUUAAUGGAGGAAUCAAAUAUAUAGACGAGCAUGUAUGUAUUCAACUAUAUUUAAUUGGAUACUUAGUGAUGCAUUUACUUACAUAGUAGCAGCAGCUCUUCUACAAGAGUUAUUUUGACCUUUUCCCCCUGGGUUUUUUUCGUUCUUCUUGAGUAUUUCUUAGAAGGUUGUGGCACUUAAAAUUUUGUAUUUGAUUUCUAUUUUUCAGUGUAUUUCGCCUGGUCUUUGUUAUUCCUUGGCCUCUAGAGUUUGAAUCUCAAAUUAUUGAAAUAAAUAUGUGAAUCAUGGCUUGUUCCAGGAGUUGAUCGUCCGAGAAUUUUCAUUUCAUCAGCUGAAUGCCAAUUUACUCUGGCCGGGGACAUUUGCAUUUGCAUAAUGGUUAAUUCAAAACAGGCCAUUGAUUGAGGGACGACAUUGUAUUGAACUGGCCAGGUAUUUCUCAAAGCUUUGACAUCCAUUUGUUAGUGGAAUCAUCCACUCCUGGCCAGGCAUAGACAAUAAUACUUGAAUGCAUUAUUUUUUUCUCUUGCUUUGACCUCGGGGCUCCCAAGUAAUAAUCGCAUUAUGUUAAUACUAUCUUUUUAAAUAUAUGGUAUACCUUCAUUUUGUUGUUUGUAAGAUGAAGUUUUGUUUACCUGCCGGUAGUUCGACUGAUUUCUCAGGAAAACCUUUGCAAAGAUGUAUGCAAUGUCUUCUCAUGAACCCUAGAUACAGAGUGUAACAUUACUGUUUUCUGUUUUCUACUUCUUUUCUACUUCUUUGUCUGUGAUGGCGUAGAUGGCCCCUGUGUUCGCAAAUUCAAUCAAGGUACAAGAGUUUCUGUACUUCAUUUAUGAGUUAACUGAUGGUCUUGUAUACAGUUCAGAUCUUAAUUAGAAGAUUAGAUGACUGCAAAAUUGGAGCUCCAUAAUCUUUUAAAGGAGAGCUCCAACUUCAAUGGGGAAACAAGAGGCAUCCGUAAGUGUUGAAUUUAUCAUGAAGAUCCAAGUAAAGCUGUUCUUUUAAGACACAAGAUGUAUUUGAAGUGGAAUGUGGCAAUGUGCAGUGAACGGUUGAGGCAAUCCACCCCAAUGGCUUUACACUACCACUUUAGGUUCAUUUUAUUUGUAUUGGUUUUGCUAUAAGCUUCAUUUGUUAUUGCUUCCACAACAUUUGUUUGUAUACUGCUCAAUUUUUUAUACAAGUGAAUGUUCUCUUAUGAAAUUGCAACAA